AAAAUCCGUCGACUUG
rnacentral:tRNA from 1 species